UUCCUGUUUAUCUUAGUGGCGGACGGGUGAGUAACGCGUGGGUAACCUGCCCUGUACAGGGGGAUAACACUUAGAAAUAGGUGCUAAAACCGCAUAAGCGCACAGUACCGCAUGGUACAGUGUGAAAAACUCCGGUGGUACAGGAUGGACCCGCGUCUGAUUAGCUGGUUGGAGGGGUAACGGCCCACCAAGGCGACGAUCAGUAGCCGGCCUGAGAGGGUGAACGGCCACAUUGGGACUGGGACACGGCCCAAACUCCUACGGAAGGCAGCAG
rnacentral:rRNA from 1 species